UGGGGAAUUUUGGACAAUGGGGGAAACCCUGACCCAGCCAUCCCGCGUGUGCGAUGAAGGCCUUCGGGUUGUAAAGCACUUUUGGCAGGAAAGAAACGUCAUGGGUUAAUACCCUGUGAAACUGACGGUACCUGCAGAAUAAGCACCGGCUAACUACGUGCCAUCAGCCGCGGUAAUACGUAGGGUGCAAGCGUUAAUCGGAAUUACUGGGCGUAAAGAGUGCGCAGGCGGUUCGGAAAGAAAGAUGUGAAAUCCCAGAGCUCAACUUUGGAAGUGCAUUUUAAACUACCGGGCUAGAGUGUGUCAGAGGGAGGUGGAAUUCCGCGUGUAGCAGUGAAAUGCGUAGAUAUGAGGAGGAACACCGAUGGCGAAGGCAGCCUCCUAGGAUGACACUGACGCUCAUGCACGAAAGCGUGGGGAGCGAACAGG
rnacentral:rRNA from 1 species